CAGCCGCCGCGGUAAGACAGAGGAUGCAAGCGUUAUCCGGAAUGAUUGGGCGUAAAGGGUCUGUAGGUGGCUUUUCAAGUCCGCCGUCAAAUCCCAGGGCUCAACCCUGGACAGGCGGUGGAAACUACCAAGCUGGGGUACGGUAGGGGCAGAGGGAAUUUCCGGUGGAGCGGUGAAAUGCGUUGGGAUCGGAAAGAACACCAACGGCGAAAGCACUCUGCUGGGCCGACACUGACACUGAGAGACGAAAGCUAGGGGAGCAAAUGGGAUUAGAGACCCCAGUAGUCCCUGUCUCUUAUAC
rnacentral:rRNA from 1 species